UAAUUAAACAAUCCCUGUGGCAUUAAGUAUAGAUUUCAUUGCAAUAUUGGAAGUUAUACAUGAUGAAAUAGGAUGGGGGACAAGUACCAACCUAAAACUAAUAAGACUAAUUGAAAUGACAAGGGCAGGUCACUUUGAAAGAACCAAGAAGCAGCAGACCCAAGGGCAAUAACAAAAAGAAGAGUCAGCAAUACAAUAUUGAAUUAUAUGAUUGGCAAAGAGCUCAGAGAUCUAAAUGGAAAGAUUUGUGGAAGCAUUUUAAGGCUCUUCAUAAUUUGCAAGUCACUAGUAUGAAUAUAAGCAGUAGGCCAGGUACCUAAGUACCACAAUUAUUUAUAAAUUUCAUAUCAUUUUAAAUAAUUUUUUUUUAAAUAAAAGGUAUGUAGAUUGACAUAUUGAUUUCCUUUUAUUUUAUUUUUUAAAAGAAAUGUCUAAAUUGUUUCAUUCCCUAAGAUUUCAUAUCUUUAUUACACACAUUUGUUCAUACAUGUAUUUUAUAACAGAGAAUCUUUUUCUUAACCUUUUUGUAAAGACAGAAUUAUUUUUGUAUUAAAAUGUAAGCAGUUUUGUGUGUGCUGUAUUAUGGUGUUUACAUUUAUUCAAGAAUUCAUUUCUCUUCAUUGUCUCUUUGACUUUAUAAAUCCCAAUCUUGUUUUUCUGAGAAAUAGAUUUUUAAAAUGAUUUAGGACCAUUAGGACAUUUUUGUACUUCAUUUCCAUACCCUGCACUCUCUUUCAAAUCCCUAGACUUUUCAAUCCCUAGACUUCUCUUUUCAAUCCCUAGACUUCUCUUUUCAAUCCCUAGACUUCUCUU